ACGUAGGACCCAAGCGUUAUCCGGAGUGACUGGGCGUAAAGAGUUGCGUAGGCGGACAAGUAAGCGAAUAGUGAAAUCUGAUGGCUCAACCAUCAACACAUUGUUCGAACUGCUGGUCUCGAGAAUGGUAGAGGUAGUUGGAAUUUCUUGUGUAGGAGUGAAAUCCGUAGAUAUAAGAAGGAACACCAAUGGCGUAGGCAGACUACUGGACCAUUUCUGACGCUGAGGCACGAAAGCGUGGGGAGCGAACCGGA
rnacentral:rRNA from 1 species